UCUCUGGUCCCACAUAAAGCUGGGAACAUGACUGCAGUCUUCAUCUCCACUAAAAGAAUAGUUGUCCCCCUUCUUGACUACCUUUUCAUAUCAGGACAACAUGGGCUGGCAGUGAGAAGCACAGGAGAGAUCCUCCUUGUUGCAAAUGCGUUGAUGAUGGAGUAAAUUGAAAGCCAGGAGAGGGAGAGUGGGAGAGAAGAAGAGGACUGAGGGUGAUAAUCUGGAAGAUCAGAGCCUGGCAGCAGAGCUUGUCUGGAUGAGAGUGAGAAUACUUCUACCUUCCCCUUUAAAGAGCAGAGGGAGACACAAAGCAACCAUAUGGAGUUGCAGCAGAGUUUGCCAACACCUUCUGGGUGUUUUUGAGGGCCAGAUCCAAUAAAGGACAUAGUUAAGCACA